GACGAACGCUGGCGGCGUGCUUAACACAUGCAAGUCGAACGGAAAGGCCCUGCUUUUGUUGGGUUCUCGUUUGGCGAACGGGUGAGUAUCACGUGAGUAACCUGCCCUUGACUUUGUGGUAACUUCACGAAACUGGGGCGAAUAUCGGAGAUGAUCUUCUGCUGCAUGUGGUGGGUUGGUAAGAUUCGGUGGUUGGGGAUGGACUCGCUGCUUAUCAGCUUGUUGGUGUGGUAGGUGCUUUCCAAGGGUUUGACGGGUAGCCGGCAUGAGAGGGUGAACGGCCACCUUGGGCCUGCGAUACGGACCAGACUCCUACGGGAGGCAGCAGUGGGGAAUAUUGCACAAUGGGCCGAAGCCUGAUGCAGCAACGCCGCGUGCGGGAUGACGGCCUUCGGGUUGUAAACCGCUUUCGCCUGUGACGAAGCGUGCGUGACGGUAAUGGGUAAAGAAGCAACGGCUAACUACGUG
rnacentral:rRNA from 1 species